rnacentral:lncRNA from 1 species
ACCAAGGGGCGGAGCUCUCCCGGCCACCGGGCUUUGUGUAGUCGCGGCUGGGGCUGAAAUUUUGAGUCUAUGGAUAAGGAUCGGGUACAGGAGGCCGAAGAGGACUCCCAAACCUGCCCUGCGCUGGAGGCGGCCGGAGAGGUGGGGACCCUUGGAAGAACUUGGUCCUUUUAAAUGCUAAAUAGUGGUCUGGGAAGUUUGAACUCAUUCUUCCAACUCCACACACCUUAGCUACUCCCCGUAACUGCUUCUGCUGCUAAAUUGACGCUGGAAUAUAGAAAUCUAAGAGAAAGAACUUUGAAAACUCCUGGAAGUUACAAAUACCUGUGUCCUGGUGUUCAGUAAGUCAUUUAUCAAGCUCCACCCCUAAGCCAGUCACUUCAAGGUGAGAAGUGGAGGCUGACAAUCUGAGAUGCUGCACUCUUAUUCUGUCAUUUAACAGUUCUUCCUACCUGCACAUUCUCCCUCUCCAUCCCCUC